UGUAAGUGAUGAAUCUAUUUCACGAUGGUCUUCAUAGACGAGGUAUUCGGCUAUGAUGAAGUCAAAUAGAUAUCUGAUACAUUUUU